GUGGGUGCGCCACCGAUGGGGAGGUGGGCCUGGCUGUAACCCAGGUGCGUAGACGCUCAGGGGGUUCGAAUCCCUCCACCCGCA
rnacentral:tRNA from 2 species